UGGUUCUAUUAACUUCUAAAAUACUAUUAUUACUUAAACAAAUUAUUUUGAACCCAUGUAGAUUAUUAUGAUUAAUUUUUAAUGUCAUUAAAUACUGAAUAGACACAACUUAUAAAUAGUAAAAUUUUACAUUUCAAACCAUUUUAUGUAAUAGUUAAAUGUUAUGUAGGUGAAGAGCUUAGAUCAUAUAAUAAGGAUAGCAUUAUUGCAUUAUACACAUGUUAAUG